UUGCGGUUAAAAAGCUCGUAGUUGGAUUUCGGCGAUCAGGGGCCGGUGAUAUAUUUGUAUCUACUGGCCCAUUUGGUCGUAUUUUUGAAAGAGGGUUUGGGGUCCCCUUCACUGGGUGUCCUAGGUCGCUUUCAGGUUUACUUUGAAAAAAUUAGAGUGCUCAAAGCAGGCUUUAACGCUUGAAUAUUCGUGCAUGGAAUAAUAGAAUAGGAAGUUCGUUUCUAUUUUGUUGGUUUUAGGAUAACGACUUAAUGAUUAAUAGGGACAAUCGGGGGAAUUAGUAUUCAAACGACAGAGGUGAAAUUCUUGGACCGUUUGAAGACUAACUACUGCGAAAGCAUUUUCCAAGAGUGUUUUCAUUAAUCAAGAACGAAAGUUAGAGGUUCGAAGGCGAUCAGAUACCGCCCUAGUUCUAACCAUAAACGAUGCCAGCUAGCGAUCUCAGGGUGCGUAAUACUAAGGCCCCUGAGGGAGCUUCCGGGGAAACCAAAGCUUGUGGGUUUCCGGGGGGAAGUAUGG
rnacentral:rRNA from 1 species